rnacentral:snoRNA from 1 species
AUGUAUCUCUGACCAACCUGGGGCAGAUAAUAUCUGCUGCUAAGGUUUCCACUACAGACACAAGAAAAAGAAGGUCUUUGCACUUUGGUUGUGGCAGCCAAGAUUGAGUGGGGAAAUACAAGA